UGGGGAAUAUUGCACAAUGGAGGGAACUCUGAUGCAGCGACGCCGCGUGAGUGAUGAAGGAAUUCGUUUCGUAAAACUCUGUUCUAUGGGAAGAAAAGGACUGUACCAUUGGAGAAAGCUCCGGCUAAAUACGUGCCAGCAGCCGCGGUAAUACGUAUGGAGCGAGCGUUGUCCGGAAUUAUUGGGCGUAAAGGGUGCGCAGGCGGCUUUACAAGUUGGAUGUGAAAUAUUGUGGCUCAACCACAAACGUGCAUCCAAAACUGCAAAGCUUGAGUUAAGGAGAGGUAAGUGGAAUUCCUGGUGUAGCGGUGGAAUGCGUAGAUAUCAGGAGGAAUACCGGUGGCGAAGGCGACUUACUGGACUUAAACUGACGCUCAGGCACGAAAGCGUGGGGAGCAAACAGG
rnacentral:rRNA from 1 species